rnacentral:rRNA from 1 species
UACAGAGGUGGCAAGCGUUGUUCGGAAUUACUGGGCGUAAAGGGCGCGUAGGCGGUCUUCUAAGUCUUGUGUGAAAUCCCUCGGCUCAACUGAGGAACUGCACGGGAUACUGGAAGACUUGAGUUCGGGAGAGGGAAGCGGAAUUCCGGGUGGAGCGGUGAAAUGCGUAGAGAUCCGGAGGAACACCGACGGCGUAGGCAGCGCCCUGGACACAUAUUGACGCUGAGGCUCGAAAGCAUGGGGAGCAAACAGG